ACAGCAGUCGCCGCGGUAAAACGGAGGGUGCAAGCGUUAAUCGGAAUUACUGGGCGUAAAGCGCACGUAGGCGGCUUUGUAAGUUAGAGGUGAAAGCCUGGAGCUCAACUCCAGAAUUGCCUUUAAGACUGCAUCGCUUGAAUCCAGGAGAGGUGAGUGGAAUUCCGAGUGUAGAGGUGAAAUUCGUAGAUAUUCGGAAGAACACCAGUGGCGAAGGCGGCUCACUGGACUGGUAUUGACGCUGAGGUGCGAAAGCGUGGGGAGCAAACAGGAUUAGAUACCCGUGUAGUCCCUGUCUCUUAUAC
rnacentral:rRNA from 1 species